rfam:Papilio machaon contig47430, whole genome shotgun sequence.
UCAAUGUUAAUCUCGUACUUGGGGCGCACAAACGGGUGUUCGUCACUCAAUCCGCCUAGGGAAGGUCUGAGUAAAGGCUCAUGUGCUCUAACACAUUCUAGCCGGAUGCUUCCCUCAUAGGGAAGGCGAGGGUACCAGAAAUCUAGAGCAAUGCUUAGCUUAUGAUGUCAACACAGGGGUGCUUGGUGGAGGCACAGGCAUUGGGUCUAUUGAAACCUCUUGUAGCCAGCAAUUUUAGUUCAAUCUACGAGAUGACCAAGGUCACAACUCAAUUCAGACUAGUCUUUCAUUGG